rnacentral:rRNA from 1 species
GAUGAACGCUGGCGGCGUGCCUAAUACAUGCAAGUCGAACGCUGGAGAUCUAGCUUGCUAGAUCGAAGGAGUGGCGAACGGGUGAGUAAUACAUAAGCAACCUACCCACGAAGACUGGGAUAAUCUCUGGAAACGGGGACUAAUACCGGAUAGGUAAUCGGAAGUCAUCUUCUGGUUAUUAAAGGUUAAAAACACUGGGGGAUGGGCUUAUGGCGCAUUAGUUAGUUGGUGAGGUAACGGCCCACCAAGACGAUGAUGCGUAGCCGGCCUGAGAGGGUGAACGGCCACAUUGGGACUGAGACACGGCCCAGACGCCUACGGGAGGCAGCAGUAGGGAACUGUCGGCAAUGGGGGCAACCCUGACCGAGCAACGCCGCGUGAGUGAAGACGGCCUUCGGGUUGUAAAGCUCUGUUGUAAGGGAAGAACGGUAGAUAGAGAAUAUCUAAGUGACGGUACCUUACCAGAAAGCCACGGCUAACUACGUG